AACGAACGCUGGCGGCAUGCCUAACACAUGCAAGUCGAACGAGACCUUCGGGUCUAGUGGCGCACGGGUGCGUAACGCGUGGGAACCUGCCCUUAGGUUCGGAAUAACUCCCCGAAAGGGGUGCUAAUACCGGAUAAUGUCUUCGGACCAAAGAUUUAUCGCCUUUGGAUGGGCCCGCGUUGGAUUAGCUAGUUGGUAGGGUAAAAGCCUACCAAGGCGACGAUUCAUAGCUGGUCUGAGAGGAUGAUCAGCCACACUGGGACUGAGACACGGCCCAGACUCCUACGGGAGGCAGCAGUGGGGAAUAUUGGACAAUGGGCGAAAGCCUGAUCCAGCAAUGCCGCGUGAGUGAUGAAGGCCUUGGGGUUGUAAAGCUCUUUUAACCGGGAUGAUAAUGACAGUACCGGGAGAGUAAGCUCCGGCUAACUCCGUG
rnacentral:rRNA from 1 species